AGAGUGAACGCUGGCGGUAGGCCUAACACAUGCAAGUCGAACGGCAGCACAGGAGAGCUUGCUCUCUGGGUGGCGAGCGGCGGACGGGUGAGGAAUACAUCGGAAUCUACCUUUUCGUGGGGGAUAACGUAGGGAAACUUACGCUAAUACCGCAUAAGACCUUCGGGUGAAAGCCGGGGACCUUCGGGCCUGGCGCGGAUAGAUGAGCCGAUGUCGGAUUAGCUU
rnacentral:rRNA from 1 species